AAAUAGAUACCCCGUAGUCCACGCCGUAAACGAUGAGUGCUAGGUGUUAGGGGGGUCCAACCCCUUAGUGCUGAAGUUAACACAUUAAGCACUCCGCCUGGGGAGUACGACCGCAAGGUUGAAACUCAAAGGAAUUGACGGGGGCCCGCACAAGCAGUGGAGCAUGUGGUUUAAUUCGAAGCAACGCGAAGAACCUUACCAGGUCUUGACAUCCUCUGACAACCCUAGAGAUAGGGCGUUCCCCUUCGGGGGACAGAGUGACAGGUGGUGCAUGGUUGUCGUCAGCUCGUGUCGUGAGAUGUUGGGUUAAGUCCCGCAACGAGCGCAACCCUUGAUGUUAGUUGCCAGCAUUCAGUUGGGCACUCUAACGUGACUGCCGGUGACAAACCGGAGGAAGGUGGGGAUGACGUCAAAUCAUCAUGCCCCUUAUGACCUGGGCCACACACGUGCUACAAUGGGCGGUACAAAGGGCAGCGAAACCGCGAGGUGGAGCCAAUCCCAUAAAGCCGCUCUCAGUUCGGAUUGCAGG
rnacentral:rRNA from 1 species